UAAGGUGUUGCUCAGUGGUAGAGUGUGUGCUUAGCAUGCACGAGGUCCUGGGUUCAAUUCCCAGUACCUCCA
rnacentral:tRNA from 1 species